UGGGGAAUUUUGGACAAUGGGCGAAAGCCUGAUCCAGCAAUGCCGCGUGUGUGAAGAAGGCCUUCGGGUUGUAAAGCACUUUUGUCCGGAAAGAAAUCCUUGGCUCUAAUACAGUCGGGGGAUGACGGUACCGGAAGAAUAAGCACCGGCUAACUACGUGCCAGCAGCCGCGGUAAUACGUAGGGUGCAAGCGUUAAUCGGAAUUACUGGGCGUAAAGCGUGCGCAGGCGGUUUGCUAAGACCGAUGUGAAAUCCCCGGGCUCAACCUGGGAACUGCAUUGGUGACUGGCAGGCUAGAGUAUGGCAGAGGGGGGUAGAAUUCCACGUGUAGCAGUGAAAUGCGUAGAGAUGUGGAGGAAUACCGAUGGCGAAGGCAGCCCCCUGGGCCAAAUACUGACGCUCAUGCACGAAAGCGUGGGGAGCAAACAGGAUUAGAUACCCUGGUAGUCCACGCCCUAAACGAUGUCAACUAGUUGUUGGGGAUUCAUUUCCUAGUAACGUAGCUAACGCGUGAAGUUGACCGCCUGGGGAGUACGGUCGCAAGAUUAAAACUCAAAGGAAUUGACGGGGUCAUAGCUGUUUCCU
rnacentral:rRNA from 1 species